CAGCUAUAAUUGUGUCGAUCUGUUGCGAAUUACAACUUUCACAGCACAUUAUCCGUCACAGAUAUAAGAGUUCCUCGAUCUAAAAUCACUUGCAUUGCACAGUACCAUUACCAUACAUAUAACUGGAUUUUCUUUAUCUCGCCUCUUUUAAACAGCACAAAACAAUGGGCACACGCGUCCAGUUCUGGCAAAAACAUAGAAUGGACAGAUUGUGGAAACGUUCCGCAUAAGUCCCUUAUUAACCACUAGAGUAACUAAAUAAGGGGCAUACAAGACAAACUUGAAUUCAGGGCUCCAUUCAUUUUUAAAAGCUAUUGUCGCAAAAUUUCAGGACUUUCUCACACCUUAAAACUUGCCGUUCAGGUAUAUCAUAACUCUCUCUGCCCAUCCUUAUCAGCAGUCAUCUAGUCAGAAUUGACAACAUUUACCUCAUCCGUCAUUGAUUUUGUCCUCUCAUCUUCAUCACCGUCUCCUUGUUUGGUUACAACACCAUCUGGUUUUGUUGCUUCCAUGACAAUUUCUUGGUCCUCAGCAACUGCACCAUCCUUUAUAAACUCAGCGCUAAUUGCUACAUCACUAGCAUUCCCAAUAACAGAUUCAUCAUUCAACUUAUUUCCAUCCACAACCACCACAUCAGGAAUAUUAUCUCCUUGGUUAAUCAAGUUGUGUGCAGGAACUCCAUCUUUGUUAUUUUCAUCAGCCUUGGGGACAUGAGUAGUAUGCACCCCCUCCACAACAGAAUGUACAUCAGUAGAUAAACUUGCAUCUGUGUCCAUAGGUGCAUGCUUGUUAUCUGAAUCAUCAUUUGUACUAUGUUUCGGACUGGCAUGAACAUGGUCUCGAGCAGCAUUUGUUUGCUUCCCUGA
rnacentral:misc_RNA from 1 species